UACGGAGGAUGCGAGCGUUAUCCGGAUUUAUUGGGUUUAAAGGGUGCGUAGGCGGAGUGUCAAGUCAGCGGUAAAAUUUCGGGGCUCAACCCCGUCGUGCCGUUGAAACUGGGGAUCUAGAGUGUGCGAGAGGUAUGCGGAAUGCGUGGUGUAGCGGUGAAAUGCAUAGAUAUCACGCAGAACCCCGAUUGCGAAGGCAGCAUACCGGCGCCCUACUGACGCUGAGGCACGAAAGUGCGGGUAUCGAACAGG
rnacentral:rRNA from 1 species